UAUGUGAUCGUCUCUCGCAUAUCAAUAAGCGGAGGAAAAGAAACUAACAAGGAUUCCCCUAGUAACGGCGAGUGAAGCGGGAAGAGCUCAAAUUUGAAAUCUUAAAGGGUUUCCCUUUACGAAUUGUAGUUUAAAGAAGUGUUUUCUGUUGAGGUUUUGGUAAAAGUUCUUUGGAAUAGGACAUCAUAGAGGGUGAGAAUCCCGUAUUUGACCUUUACUUUCAACUUUGUGAUACACUUUCAAAGAGUCGGAUUGUUUGGGAAUGCAGUCCAAAAUGGGUGGUAAAUUUCAUCUAAAGCUAAAUAUUGGCGAGAGACCGAUAGCGAACAAGUACCGUGAGGGAAAGAUGAAAAGAACUUUGAAAAGAGAGUUAAACAGUACGUGAAAUUGUCAAAAGGGAAGCGUUUGACACCAGUGUUGUUUUUCUGAAAAUCAAUUAAAGAACUGUUUAUGCUAAGUUGUUUAGACUUUAUCAGCUAUCUGCUUAGUUUUGAGCUUUUCUUUAAUGCACUUUUCAGUUAACAAGGUCAACAUCAAUUUCUUUUGCUGUAAAAAAGCUUGAGGAAGGUGGCUUGAGAUUCGUCUUAAGUGUUUAUAGCCUCUUGCCUAUGCAGUCGGAGAGAUUGAGGUCUGCAGCGUAGAUCCUUCGGGGCUAAAUGCAUUUGUGCUAAGUUAUAGCAUUUUAUAGACAACUUGUUGACUAUGAUUUGUCUUGUAGCUUACUCGCUUAUGUUAUUUUACCUACGCUUAGGAUGUUGACACACGCGCGUGCUCG
rnacentral:rRNA from 1 species